rnacentral:rRNA from 1 species
ACAGCAGUCGCCGCGGUAAUACAGAGGGUGCGAGCGUUAAUCGGAUUUACUGGGCGUAAAGCGUGCGUAGGCGGCUUCUUAAGUCGGAUGUGAAAUCCCUGAGCUUAACUUAGGAAUUGCAUUCGAUACUGGGAAGCUAGAGUAUGGGAGAGGAUGGUAGAAUUCCAGGUGUAGCGGUGAAAUGCGUAGAGAUCUGGAGGAAUACCGAUGGCGAAGGCAGCCAUCUGGCCUAAUACUGACGCUCAUGCACGAAAGCGUGGGGAGCAAACAGGAUUAGAUACCCGUGUAGUCCCUGUCUCUUAUAC